CAGUCGCCGCGGUAAAACGGAGGGGGCUAGCGUUGUUCGGAAUUACUGGGCGUAAAGCGUACGUAGGCGGCUUUGUAAGUUAGAGGUGAAAGCCUGGUGCUCAACACCAGAACUGCCUUUAAGACUGCAUCGCUUGAACGUCGGAGAGGUGAGUGGAAUUCCGAGUGUAGAGGUGAAAUUCGUAGAUAUUCGGAAGAACACCAGUGGCGAAGGCGGCUCACUGGACGACUGUUGACGCUGAGGUACGAAAGCGUGGGGGGCAAACAGGAUUAGAUACCCCCGUAGUCCCUGUCUCUUAUAC
rnacentral:rRNA from 1 species